rnacentral:rRNA from 1 species
UGCGAGCGUGACGGCGCGAGCAGGUGCGAAAGCAGGUCAUAGUGAUCCGGUGGUUCUGAAUGGAAGGGCCAUCGCUCAACGGAUAAAAGGUACUCCGGGGAUAACAGGCUGAUACCGCCCAAGAGUUCAUAUCGACGGCGGUGUUUGGCACCUCGAUGUCGGCUCAUCACAUCCUGGGGCUGAAGUAGGUCCCAAGGGUAUGGCUGUUCGCCAUUUAAAGUGGUACGCGAGCUGGGUUUAGAACGUCGUGAGACAGUUCGGUCCCUAUCUGCCGUGGGCGCUGGAGAACUGAGGGGGGCUGCUCCUAGUACGAGAGGACCGGAGUGGACGCAUCACUGGUGUUCGGGUUGUCAUGCCAAUGGCACUGCCCGGUAGCUAAAUGCGGAAGAGAUAAGUGCUGAAAGCAUCUAAGCACGAAACUUGCCCCGAGAUGAGUUCUCCCUGAGACUUAGAGUCUCCUGAAGGAACGUUGAAGACGACGACGUUGAUAGGCCGGGUGUGUAAGCGCAGCGAUGCGUUGAGCUAACCGGUACUAAUGAACCGUGAGGCUUAACCUUACA